rnacentral:lncRNA from 1 species
GCAUGGGUUCAGGAAAAUGUACUUCAUUUACUGAUGCUGGUAAAGGGCCAACACAUUUCCAUUAUAUUUACAGUUUCCAACAUCUGAAAUGAACGACGGAGAUGGCUGCCAUAUACUUAUUUGCAGUACUGUAAGGUAUAACCUGCCCUUCAUAUUAAUUGCAUAUUUUCUCCACGAGAGUGCUCCACUGUGACUGACUAUCACAGUCCGGGUCAGAGUUUGCCCAAACAAUAGUGGAUGGCGAGUUUAAACUGGUUUGCGCUUAUAUGUUGUUGCCCCCGGUAUACUGAAGGGUCUAUCCAGACGCGAAGCUGUCUCAGACUAUCUGAAGGACUAGUGCAACCGGACAGUGAAGCAUCAGUCAUGUGAUGCCAGCAUUGCCACUGACCAGCAAUUACACCGUAACUCAUAACGGUAGUGCACCAUUCAAGAGAAAGAAGACUUUUUGAAUCAAGAGGAGGAUCUGUGAAACACCUCGGCACAGAUUAUAUUUUCUUGGAUCAUGGAACUAUCUCUGGUGAGUCUCUUGAAUGAUCUAAGUGAGUGUCUGGAUAUGCAAUGCCUACAUUUUAAUCAACUCUGCCUAGCCUAUAUUUAAUCUGGUU